rnacentral:rRNA from 2 species
ACACGUGGGUAACCUGCCCAUAAGACUGGGAUAACUCCGGGAAACCGGGGCUAAUACCGGAUAACAUUUUGAACUGCAUGGUUCGAAAUUGAAAGGCGGCUUCGGCUGUCACUUAUGGAUGGACCCGCGUCGCAUUAGCUAGUUGGUGAGGUAACGGCUCACCAAGGCAACGAUGCGUAGCCGACCUGAGAGGGUGAUCGGCCACACUGGGACUGAGACACGGCCCAGACUCCUACGGGAGGCAGCAGUAGGGAAUCUUCCGCAAUGGACGAAAGUCUGACGGAGCAACGCCGCGUGAGUGAUGAAGGCUUUCGGGUCGUAAAACUCUGUUGUUAGGGAAGAACAAGUGCUAGUUGAAUA